rnacentral:ncRNA from 1 species
CACAAUAUAAUACCGACGGAUGCCCCUUGGGGCUUGAUAGGGAAGCCGGUGAAAUUCCGGCGCGGUCCCGCCGCUGUGAUCGGUGACAAAAGCCGCAAAUAAGCCACUGUCCGGAAAGAGCCGGGUGGGAAGGCGCGGUGAGUAGGUUUAAACCGAGAGCCAGAAGACCUGUCCGACGGUAAACCCUGGC